UGGCGAUGAUGACACAAAGGCCGGACUUACGGCUGCUAUUGGUUUGGUUUGUUGGUAGUAGACUGAUGAAAGUGCAAUGAAGGUGUUUUUUCUGAGCUAG